CAGCCGCCGCGGUAAUACGGAGGGUGCAAGCGUUAAUCGGAAUUACUGGGCGUAAAGCGCACGCAGGCGGUCUGACAAGUCAGAUGUGAAAUCCCCGGGCUUAACCUGGGAACUGCAUUUGAAACUGUCAGGCUGGAGUCUUGUAGAGGGGGGUGGAAUUCCAGGUGUAGCGGUGAAAUGCGUAGAGAUCUGGAGGAAUACCGGUGGCGAAGGCGGCCCCCUGGACAAAGACUGACGCUCAGGUGCGAAAGCGUGGGGAGCAAACAGGAUUAGAGACCCGCGUAGUCCCUGUCUCUUAUAU
rnacentral:rRNA from 1 species